ACACCGUGACUAUGGUACAACUUGUUACAACUAGUUGUAACAAGUUGUACCAUAGUCACGGUGUA